CUCCUGUGCCUCCAGCCACCUCUCGCUGGCCUCUGCCUAUGACCUCUGUGUCUCCCAAAGGGGUAGACCCCCUCUUCUGGGGAAGAGACACAGCAGGAGUAGCAUAUGUAAGAGCAGUGACGUCUUUCUACUGUGUGGCUGCAGCUGACCACUAGAGGCCUAAUGUCCCAAAAGAUGAAUCCAGACCAAGUGACCAGUCAGGAGUUUGGCUUCUCUGGGAGAAAAAGAUCCUACCUCUGGUGUGACUGAGCCAGAAGAUUUAGUCAAAAGAAGUUCAGCAUCCCUGGUUACCAUCCCCUAAUUGGGAAUGGUAGCUUUCCUUUUUCCUGGUGGUUCUGAGUUAUUUGUUCUAUUCCAAAUCCUCUGCCUCCUCAUCUCCUGCCCAUGACUUUUUUUCCCCCAGAUCCCUGACCUUAUUGAAGCUUUAUACCCUACCUUGAGCCAGAAAUUCUGAGUAGCAUAGAUCCAAGUUGGGAAGAGUUCUGCUUGGCUUGUCUUAUUCAUUUCUUGUCUCUGUGUUUACUUCACCUGCUGGAGCUGGGUCUGAUUUCCUGCUCCAAGUGGCACAGAACUGACAUUCAGACAAAUGUGAAACUACCCUCAGAGUUCCUGGCUCUAGAAACAAAACAGAGCUGGAAGAGUUUGCAUAAUCUGGAGAGAGAGUUUACUAGUUUACUCAGAAGCUGUGUGAAGAGGUGAAACUGGGAAGGGAGGUCAAGGGUCAGACCCACUGAAAACUAGGAAAAGAAAAGCAGACUGUAAGAAGAAUUUGAAGGAAUCAGCCUUUUCAUUUCUGAGCCUCCCUAGACCAGACAAAAGUACUGAUGAAAUCAGCUAUCUAUAAACUGGAUAAUUAGAUCACAGUCUCCUUUAGCCCUUCAAAAAUUGAUUGGACUGAAAACUGAUAAGACUGAUCUCCUGCCUAGGAAUCUCAGUGUUCCAAGCAGGUUUAGAGUUAAGGGUCAAACAGUCAUUAUUAAAGCCCACAGUAUUAUAGGGCAUGGUUUUGCCUGUGAAGAGUUUAUAAUCUGAAAAUGUGUCCCCCACCCCUGGUCAUAUCUAUUUCCCUUUCCAUCUAGGAGCAACCCAAAUUAUAAAAAUUUCUGGUUUUAACGUUGGAAAUUUACAA